ensembl:lncRNA novel transcript
AGUGCUGCAGCUGAGGUUCGGGUUCGGCCCGCGCCCGGCGUGAACAAAGCGGCUGCCAAGGCCUGGGACUGAGGGGACUGAGCCGCCGGCUCCACGCCGCCCCCAGGCCCAGAAGAAACACCGACUGCGGGCCGGGCACAGCACCCGGCCGGGGAAAGGACGCCCCGAGUUACGCGCAAACUUCCUUUGAAUGGCGCCCAGGUGCCCGGAAAGAUGCGUACACGUGGACCAGUUUUCACUUUUCAGUGCCGAAAUCCAUGAAGAUUUAAGGCACUGAUGCAAAACACUGAAUAUUCCAAUGUUUGCAACUUUGAAGGUUUUACACACGAACCGUGGGAGGUGUGGAUACAUCUUGGCCAUCACUUUGAACAAGCCUCAGAAUUGCUAAAACUAGUAUCAGUAGAAGCACUGAUGAGAAUUUCUGCCAAGUUUGAAAAAGAAUAUUCCAUCCUCCUCUGAACACUGAAGAUUCUGAUCAAGUCUUCUCCUUCUAUUACUUUUAUUUCAUUCUUCCUUGACUAAAACUUAGCGCUCUGUGGAUUUGAGAUAAGA